GGCCCGCCCCUAGGCCGGCCCCGCCUCCUUCCCCGCCCCGACCGGAAGAAGCGCCGGCGCCCGGCACUUAUAGGGCCGGGAAUGGGGGUGCCACCACCGCCUAGUUAGCUCUGCGUCUGCGGAGUCCCGGCCGCCGCAGCGCUGUUGUCGCGGCGCUCCCGCCCCGUCCUCUGCCCUCCCGCACCGCCCCCCUGGAGCCGGCCGGACCGGCCAGGAGCCAGGGCCGAGUCCUCGCCAUGCCUGCCCGACUGCAGCUGCUGCUGCUGGCGUUGCUGCUGCCCAGCCCCGGGUCUCUGCUUGAAUGUAACUUUGACGUGGUCCACACUGAAGUUUUGAUCAAUACUGUUAUUACCCAGCUUGAUUGCACAAUUUAUCGAGGACACUUGGAUUCUUGGUUGUUUCUAAAAACCCGUGAGAGACUGUCUACCACGUAGAGGAUUCAAAAGUAUAUUCUUUGAAGGUGCACCGUUGGAAGGCCGCGCCGCAGAAGGCCCUGCAGCACAUAGCUGGUCCCCGUCUCAGCCGCUGCACUUUGGCUAUGACUCAAAGAAUCCUAAGAGCUGGUUUAGAAACAAGAGGAAACUCACUUCUAAAAUUCACAUGGACUGGGCUGGACCAAAUCUAAACUCUGCUGGAACCAUGUUGACAAAGAUUUUUGGAAGUCCCAGCACUGUGACACUUCCUGAAACCUUGUUGUUUGUGUCAACCCUGGACGGAAGUUUGCAUGCCGUCAGCAAGAGGACAGGCUCAAUCAAAUGGACUUUGAAAGAAGAUCCGGUCCUGCAGGUUCCAACACAUGUGGAAGAGCCUGCAUUCCUCCCAGAUCCCAACGAUGGCAGCCUGUAUACGCUUGGGGGCAAGAAUAAUGAAGGCCUGACGGUGAGUGUAUUUAGCUCCUUUGUACUCCGGAGGCUCUAGACCACUGAUCUUCAAUUUAGCUGUGCGUUGAGAUCACCUGAGAGCUUAAAAAAAAAAUUUCUGGGGAUUCUGAAUCAGGUGGUCUGGAUUGGGGCCUGGGCAUCAGCAUCUUUUCACAGCUUCCUCAGUGAGCUUUUAAACGUACAGCUCAGAGUUCAGAAACGUCGAUCUGGACCAGCAGGUUCUCAUGGCUCAGCCAGCACACAGGAGGCGCUCGGCAGACACCGCCAGGCUCCAGGCUGGAAACCUUGCAACGACUUUCUGAUCCUCAGAAACAUCUGAGGGAAAACCCAGUCGUUACUGCCUCUCCGUGGCAUUUUUCCUUUGCUAAGGCUUAGUUUAAACAUCGGGAUGAUGGGGAAAUCCACAUUAUUGGUUAUUUAAAGUUCUGUUUACUAAAGCUCAAGGGAAAUCUUUGCUUUCUUGGGGAGAAAGGUGACAGCGGCGUAGAAGCAGGUAUCUGUGGAACGGUUUCAAGAACACAGAAUGUUCCAAAA